rnacentral:rRNA from 1 species
UUGACGGUACCCUACUAGAAAGGAGCCGCUAACUUCGUGCCAGAAGCGUCGGUAAUACGGGGGCUCCAAGCGUUAUCCGGUGUUAUUGGGCGUAAAGAGUCGUGUAGGUGGUUGGGUAAGUUAUCUUUCAAAUAUCUUUGCUUAACAAAGAGGAGGGGGAUAAUACUGCUCGACUAGAAUUUUCUCAAGGGAGAUCGGAACUGAGGGAGGAGUAGUGAAAUGCGUUGAUACCCUCGGGAACACCAGUGGCGUAGGCGGAUCUCUGGGAGAAGAUUGACACUGAGACACGAAAGCUAGGGGAGCGAAGCAGAUUAGAGACCUGCGUAGUCCUAGCCGUAAACGCAUGCUUGCUAGCUGCAUGAAUCUACCUUCGGGUGGUAUCGUGUGGCGAAGGUAACCCGUUAAGCAAGCCGCCUGGAAAGUACGGCCGCAAGGCUGAAAUUCAAAGGAAUUGGCGGGGAGGCACACAACCAGUGGAACAUGUGGUUUAAUUCGAGACUAACCGAAGAACCUCACCAGGGUUUGACAUGUAGCUGCACGUCUUAAGAAAUUAAGACUCUCUUGAAGGUGCUACACAGGUGCUGCAUGGCUGUCGUCAGCUCGUUCCGUGAGGAGUGCCCUUAAGUGGGACAACGAGCGCAACCCCUAUUACAUGUUAGAAAUGUCAUGUAAGACUGCCUUGCCAUUUGGCGGGGAGGAAGGAGGGGCAGACGUCAAGUCCGCAUGGUCCUUAUGCCCUGGGCUACACACAUGUUACAAUGAGUACGGCAAUGAGUCUGUCGCGAGCACGUAAGUGUAAGCUAAUCUCUUAAAUGUACUCUCAGUGGGGAUUGAGGUCUGCAACUCGACCUCAUGAACACGGAAUUGGUAGUAAUCGCGGGUCAGCUAUACCGCGGUGAUACGUUCUUGCCUCUUGCACACACCACCCGUCAAACCAGCAAAGU